UGCACGCUGCACGUGGAAUAAUUGGCAUCCUGUUGGAGUGUUGGCAUGGCAUUACUCAUCAGCAAGCCGUCCGUCAUGAUAAAUUUUCGAAGUGGGAUGUAUGUCUUAUUGUCUUAUGUAUGUGGUGAUAUGUCUCAUGUCUGGUGUGUUAACGUGUGAAAGCUCUACAGCAUGUGAACGCAUGGAAAUUUGGACUUCAGCGCAUAUUUUAAUUUUUAAAGUGAUUUAGUGAUUUCAAGAUUUCACGAGAUAAGUGUUAAGUUCUCAAUGCCUAAAGAAUACUACACUGAAAAAUAGAGAUAAGGUUGCAGUGGAAUAUUUUCAAAAAGCCGACUGUUCUUCGCAAACGGUUCGAAAUGGAAGAUUUAUAGAUUCACCAAAGAAACGAGUCAUAUGACUCAAAUGUCAAUUGACCCAUCCCCAGCAACAUCAACCUGCAG